AAGCCAUGGUGAGGACAAGCAUUGAUAUCUUCCAUGUAUCUUUCCCAACACUCAUAAAAUUUCUCAUUCUCUUUAGAUGAGAAGUUUGAAAUUUUUCUUUUUAAGUCG
rnacentral:snoRNA from 1 species